UUGCAAGCCAUCUUGUCUAAAUGGCCCCAAACUUUUCUCUGAAACUGGGCUUGUGUUUUGCACCUGUACAUUUUUUUCCAUGCAAGCAGCCUUCUUUGCUUGCAAGUUGGGAAGUUAGACAAGCCGUCUCUGGAGGAAUAGAUUUCAAGGGCUAAAUUUUCACAACAGCCUCUGAAAUUGGAUAUUAUUUUCCUCGUUUAAAUGGACAUUGGAAAGCGAUCCCACUUAAAGACAAAAUCCCAAGGUCAUCACCCUAAGGUUCAGUUUCCCCACUCUCUUUCUGUCUAGCUGUGUCUACCCUGUACAUAGAACCACGUUUGGACCCAGUUCUACAAAAAUCAACAGUUUUGGGGAACCUGAUUAUGACGGACACAGCUGCCAGCUCUGCGUAGUGUUGUUCAGCUCGGAUGUUAAUGAGCUCAGUGCCAUAUUCCCCCGUCAGCCUCUGUCAAGAUGUUACGGGUUGCCGUGAACUUUCACAAAUGAAAAGGGAGUUUACUUUUGAGGAGGGCGGGCGGGCAGCCAACAUUACUUUGUAAGA